AACAUCUGACAGUUUUCCUUUAAAAUUUUUCACAUGACUCUGCCAUCACUAUGAAAAUUUAAAAAAAAUACAUACUCAUCAACCUCGCUCCCCCAUUACAUCUUCCAGCUCCCUGCUUGAUACUUGUCUUGGCAGUGAUGGCCUGAUCAGUCAAUGACUGACUAAGGCAGGACCCCACUGUAGUAAGUCAUUGGCCAUCACUAAGUGGGCCAUCACUGCCAAGGCAAGUCUGUUUCAGAAGUAGCUAACAAAGAGAGGUGCGGGAAGCCAGAAGACUUCACAGAGGAGCGAGGUAGGUAAAUAUGCAUUUUUUAAUAGCAGCUGCAGCACUAUCUAAAAAUUUUCUAUAAGGGUUAUGUUUACAUAAUGUGAAUCUGCUGCAGAUUUUCUGUAAUUAUGUUUAAAUAAAUUUUUAAUUUUGAUGCAGAAACACUCCAGAUUUUCUGCAAUUUAUUCGGAGCAGAUACGCAGUGUGUGAACAUAUUCUUCAAGGAAUUUGCCAAAAUUGCAAACGUUAAAGGAAAAGGGUCAUCCAGUGUAUUGGGUUUAGUGUGGGUGAACAGGAUGACCGUUUUCCUUUUAAUGAUUUCAGACAUUUACAGUGACAAUCACACAUUUACAUUUAUUGUGCAUGGGUUGUAUAACAAUUGGAAAGCAGCUAUCUUCGCCACUAUACCGUACAUCCAACAAAUAAUGCCCAAUAUUCAGCGUUGCCUUGGCAACUGUACCAAAAAGUAGUCAUUGUGCCUCUCCACACCUGAUAUCAAAUUAAUCAAGAUAGUCAGCCCACACAACUUGUUUAACUAGUGAGUACCCCCCACCCCCACACUCUCUGGUGCCAGCCAGAGAGUACCACUAUAAUAGACGAAGGUGUCCCUGUUAAGAAUACUAAGCACAGUGUACCUCCAGUGUUAGACUUCCCCCCCAUAAUCAGUUAUAAACAGUAGAAACUGCAGCGCCAGCCAAAGGAUGUCCCUAUAAAGGGGCAGUGUAUAGCCUGACCUUAUAAAGAGUAUCAAGAAAAGAAGACCCUCUAUAAUGGUACAGAUCAGUCAUGCACUAACCAGUAUGGGUUGAUCAGACCAGUUACACCACAGGCAAAGGCCAAGGGAAACCCAAUCCCUUGACGUCAGUGAGAAGCUGAGCACCAUGUACGCAGAUUUCAACCUAAUAAUCGCCGCUCUCUGUAUACACUGGGUACAAUGAAAUCCCAAGACUAUCAAAGGUAUUCUGGGUGGAAAUGUCCUGCCCGGUGUUAGGAAGCUUGGUCACAGAUCAUGGAUCCUCCAAGAGGAUAAUGGCCCAAAACACACAGCUACUAAUAACACCCAAGAAUGGCCAAGAGCAAAACAUUGGACAAUUGUAACGUGGCCUCUAUGAGCCCUGAUCUAUUGAACAUCUGUGGAAGGAGCUGAACCCUGCUGUAUGGAGAAGACACCUUCACACUUGAGACAGCUGAAGCAGUAUGUUAUGAGAAAAACAUUAAGGGUGUAUUCCGGGAUUUUUUUUAUUAUUAUUAUUUGACUAUUAUAUACACAAUAGUACUUUUUGCUAUUCAAUUUAUUCAUGUUUGUUUUCUCAUUCUUUCCCCAUACACGGUCAUAUAUUAUUCUUAGACACCAUUUUAGUUUGUAGUCAAUACUGUAUUUGUGUCUAUUUACCUUCCUGAUACUUGAAGUUUAUAUCUCAUGUUAUUAUACUGCUUUUUACCUGUAAGGGGUUAAUUCCUGCCGGUCACAUGACCUGUGACUGGCCGCAAUGACCUCACUGCCUAUAUAAACCGACAUGUAACAUGCAUUUGUUGUAUGACUAAGAGCGCUUAUAGCGCUUGAAACGCGUUACUUGUUCCUUCCUUGUCCUAUGAAUUAAACCUGAUUUUACCUGCAUUGAGCUGGAUCCGAUCUCCUUCAUUUUCUUAUUAUUUGACUAUG